GAUUUUUUAAAUUAUUAUAAUAUUUGCCUAAUGCACUUAUAAGAAAUGCCUCCUGUGAUUGUAUUUAAUGUCUUUGGGAAAAAAUUAAUAUAAAUUACGCAUUGAUGUUUUAAUUGGAGCAUUAUUGUAAAAAGUAAAACCGUUAAAAACCAUCAUAUAAAUACAUUUCUAAUAAAUAAAAGGGAUCAUGAUUAAUAAAAAACUAUUGAAAAAAACUGAUUACUAUUACUAUUUUACUAACAAAGGGGGAAACAAAUCCAGUAGGGAUUACAAGUACAGAGAGGUUCCCACAGAGCACAGCCGAAGAUACAGGUCUCUCUGCUGUGAGCCCUGCAUGGUCCAGCUGCUUUGACACAUCUACUGUAGACCCAGCUUGGUCAUUACGAACUACAAAGCUCACUGACCUUGUCAAGCGCUCGCUACCCUCUCAAAGCCAUCCAAGUGUUUGGGAGGAGGGGGUACAUUUUGUGGCUGUCUGGUUACGCCCAGCACACACAAACACACCUGGACCAUGGCUGUUUGCCUGCCAGGUUAAAGGGCUAAUGUCAGUGACAGAAGGAGAUUUAACAAGGAAGGUGGAAGAGGAUGAAUAUGCAGCAAGGGUAGAACGUGAGCGAGAGGAGCAAAGGGAGGAAAGAGGGUGGGAAGCGAAUGACAGUCCAAAGCAGAGGGAGGGGGUGAAUGGGGGUCACAGAGUGAUGAGGGGGUUAAAUGCCACAAAUGCCAUGUCUCAAGGCCUCAUGAAGACAAACUCAUGCAUUGCUCCCAAGGUCAGGGCACGCACACAAACACCUGUGCAAUAGUAGUGGAGGUUUCGUGGGUUGGGAGAGCAAUGGAGCAACACAGUCUAGCCAGUUAGCGCUUAUUGUCUGCUACACAUGGCUUCACAGAAAUAAAUUGUGCACCACUCUUAAAGGGGAUUACGGAGAAAUAGAUGCGUUUAGCUGUUAGUCCCUACCAUGAAAAUAGAGCAAAGGUUUGGUGAAAGAGCUAGGAGAAGAUAAGCGGAAAGAGAGGAAGGUAUAUGAACCUGUGUGGCAUUGUUUGCCCUCACGAGUCUCAACAUAAAUGAUUAACUUCUGAGAUGGAUCUGAUUUCCGGUAGCUCUCUCAAUCAGUGUAAAAACACGUAUGCUCUGUAUGGUGUUCAACUCCAUCAUACUAUUUCAACAUCAUUAAAUGAGCGUUUCCCAUGAAGAAAACACAAAUUUCAGGCAUGAAACCCUAAGAGACAAAUAAAAAGGUUCCCACGAAUACAUGUAAUCUUCUCACUAUUUGCAUUUACAAUAUAUUUGUCUAGUUUGUGCUCCAAAUUACAAAAUGACAUGCAACUGUGUUGGAAUCCCCGUGCUGCAAGAUGAUAACGGGCCGGCCAAGUGGCAGCUUGAA
ensembl:lncRNA